rnacentral:lncRNA from 1 species
CCGCGGUCACCGUCGGGACCUGCAAAGGAAGUCUAAACCAGAGUUGGGGGUGCUCCGGCAAGACCCUCCGAUGCUCAAGUCAGUUCUCUGCCUCAACAAGAAUGGAGUGCUCGAAUGAAAAUUUUAGCAGAGUUUUGAGAUAGAAAUUAGAGCUUAGAGAAUAACGUAUCUGGGGUCCCCCCUUUUUAUAGGCGGAGGGUGCAACAGACUGAU